AAUACUACAUGACUGUUAAUAUUCUAAAGCAGUUGCUCAAAGUGACCACCUCCUGCUUGUAGGCAGGCUACGGCUCUUUGUGCCACAUGGGUUGAUGAGCGCUUAACUAAGUUCAAAUCAGAUCUAAUUUCUUCGGUGACUGUCAUAAUUUUUAAGACGAGUUCUUCCCUGCUGUUUGGAAAUGUAGCGUACACUUUUUGCUUCAUAUGACCCCACAAAAAAUAAUCUAAGGGUGUCAAAUCGGGUGAGCGAGGCGGCCACGCUACGUCACCACCACGACCGCGACAGAUUAUUAAUUAAAUAUUCUCUCACUGCUCGAGAGAAAUGUGCGGGUACACCAUCGAGCUGGAACUACAUUCGGCGACGAUAAGAUAGAGGUAGCUCCAUGAGGCUGUCCGCAAACUGUGUCUCUAGAAAUUCUAAGAACCUAGCGCCGUUUAAUGAGUCUUUACAAGAGUAUUUGAAAUUUGUGCACCAGUAUCUCAGAUUUUACGUGCAUUUCACUCAGCCGAUUUCGACUUUUUCGACCACAGUUCAUUUACUACGCUGAAAACACGUUCAGCGGCGUUUGAGAUAGGGAUCGAUAGAGUGAAGGUAACAAGGUUUUUUAUUUCGUUGCCAGUCUCAUGCUUACAUUUUUCAAUAAAAUUAACCCAACGCAAGUCUACCCCUCUUGGUUUUGUUUGCCACUACGUCACGAACUUCUCGCAGUAAACAAUAAUCGUCAUAUAAUUAACCUCAUUUAAUGGCACAUUCAGAGAAGCACCCACAUCUUUUAAUUAAUUCCAGUGAAUGUCUUCGUCCAUUGUCAAGAUGUUCAUUUUCUUGUAAAUAGAGUCAUAGAAUUCGUUAACCAAAUAAGUCAAACAUCGCUCCAAAUAUGUGUCUGCCUCUUCUCCAAAAGUAUUUUGAUAACUCUCCGCCAACUUCCUCUGACAUUGCGUCGCUGACUGUCCGUAAAACAAAACAAGAGGAUAUCAAUUGAAUCUACUAAUAUAUUUCAAUUUUCCUUUAUGCAUACUACAUUUUAAAGGUGUAUCCACUAAAACAUCUGCAAAAGAAUUAAUUGUUUUCAGGACAUUCUGUUUAGGAACACUAGUUUUUAAAAAUGAUUGUCAUAUUUUGCAGGUCAUGGAAAUAAUUUUGUAUGGCUUUGUGAGGAUAACAUAACCAUUUUUAUUAGUAUAUUCUUUAGCUUUUAUAAAACUAUUACUACAUAAAUUUUCAUUAUUAUUAUCUAAUAGGUCUUGUCUGCAAUAUUUACAACAUUUUACAUACACAUAGCUUAGGCAUUUAAAAAAAAAUUACGAAUGACGAGUAUUUAUUUUUUUUCUCGCCCAAAAGUUAUCUCAAUUCUGGGAAAAAGUAGUAGUCUAUAGGCGCAAGAUCUGGUGAGUAAGGUGGACGACGACGGAGAGCUUCCAACCCCGGUUCUUGCAACUUGGUGAGGGUCUGGUGUGCAGUAUGAGGUAGCGCGUUGUCGUGCGUUCGUUUAGGGCAUUGUUUAGGUGCUGAACCAGGCUCCAACCACCUUGCCGAGUGCUUGCGGUUAUGGAAGAGAAUCCAUUUUCAUUUUUCCAUUUCCAGGUAACAAUGCGGUUCAAAAUUCCUUCAUUUGUGUGUCUGUUGAGCAGUGCAAGGUACGUCUCAACGCGUACUUCGCGCUUUCCAUCAUUGAGUUCGUGAGACGAACAUUUGUUAAGCUUUUCUACCUUGCCAAUUUGACGCAAAUAGACAUAUAUUGUUUUGAUGGUAACGUCGAAUGCUGCUGCUAAUUUAGCCGUAGAUUGUGUAUCAUCAGCUUCCACAAUCGCCUUUAAUUAGUCAUUUUCGACCAAAGUUUUCGGGCGACCGCGAGGUUAAUUUUUCACGUCGAAAUUUCCAGAACGGAAGCGAGCAAACCCAUAACAGGUGGUGUUGGUUUGUAGUGUUAGCUACGUAAACGUCGUUGAUGUUGCGUGCCGUUUGUGCCGCGUUGCUGCCACGAUGGUACUCAUAUUCCAUAAUUACUCGAAUUUUUAACGUAUCCAUGAUGACGAAGAAGAUUGAAAUGCGAUGACAAUGUAGCACUAAUCAAUAAACUAACUAAUGAAUAUUUUUGGAAGAAGAAUUCCGCGUUUUUUAAAUAAAAUUAAUUUGAAAUUACAAUUCUUAGCCAAACAAAAAAUAUUAUGAUUUGAAAUGGCCAUUACCUCAGAACGGCAAUUUCAUAGUGUGUAGACAAAAUAAUAGAAAUAUCCUAAAAUUAAUAACUAAAAUCUACCUAUAUUAUUAACAUAGGUACAAGAUAUUUACAUACAUACAAACUAUUGAAUUUACAUACAUACAAACUAUUAUACCUAAUGAUAACUAUAUUCUUCACAAAGUUUUUUGGAUAUUUUGUUUAUUAAUGCCUGUGUCUCGUCCAUUAUAUUUAUCGCACACUCAUCACUACCACUUUGCCGCUAGGGGUUGCAGGUUCCUGCCGGGGCUGCGGGUUGUUCGAAAGAGAUAUCGCGGCCCUGGCACAUUAAAGGCCUAUGACGGAACACGACGGUCUUUAGUCAGUAAGAGUCUGACACUCCCUCACCGCUGCUAACCCACAGCGGGAGGGGUCAUUUGAUGAUUUUUGACGUCGUUAAAAAAAAAAGGGGGUUGCAGGUUCUUGUGGUUCAUUAAUGUCCAACACUUGUACUUGAAUGAGUCGUACACUUUUUUUUCUUCUCAUUGUUGAUGACGAACGAUUGGUAGGUACGUUGGCGUCUGCUUUCGCUUUUGACGUCUCAUUUUAGGCUUCUUACUCGCACGAGGUUGUGGCUCUGGUGUAUGCCAGCACAAACUUGUAGUAGGAAAACCUUGAGAGUAUUGUGAGAAACGAAUGUCAGGAGAAUCACACAUUAUUGAUGAUUUGAAACAAAUAAAACAAUAAGUAAUUUUAUAUCAAAAGUAAUAAAGAUAUACGGGUCAAUACUUACAAUGUUUUAUUUUCUGAUGAGAUGAGCGCAAUGACGAAGGAAGUGAAAUAUUCUUAUGUAAAAUAGUUUAAUCAAAGUAAUGUUUUAACAAGUUUAAACCUGUAUACUUUAUACGAGUGCACCUGUGUGGUGUCAUAUUUAACACCAGAUAUGUGCAAGCACAAUAGAUAGGAAUGAACGUGAAACAAAUGUUUUUCAUAAUAAAAGUAUGUAUUAUGGUAUUUUAUGGAACAUUAUUAACAAUCCACUUCAUCAUUUCCAAACGUUUUGCUUAAUCAAUUAAACACAUACAUGUUAUUAUCAAAAUACCAUUUUCUUACACACACAGCAUUAUUUAAUGCACAGUUAAUUCUAUGAUGCACACAGUUAGUCUGAUUUAUUUUUUUUAAACAUUAUUUUUGAUGAUGAAAGAUUAGGACAUCCCUUUUCACCAAGAUCAAUCACUUCACAGUUUGUACAUAAUACUUUAAUCCACUGUUUUUUUUCCAAACCCUUGGUUGUAAAUUUUCUUAUUCUUGAGAUAUACCUCGUGUGUUUAUAAGUUUUGAGGCAGAAUAGAAGUUGCAUAUCUUUUUAAAUAACUAACUUAUAUUUAUAAAAAAAAUAGUAAACAUUAAGUAGUAGGGAUGGCGAUUCUUUCCAAAAAAGAUCGAUUUUUAAAUCGAUUCGAAUCAAGGUCUAAUAAAUCGAUCCACAAAAAAAUCGAGGUGAAAAGAAUCAAUUUUGCAAACAUCGAUCUUUUUCGAUUCGCAUAUUGAGUCUUUCUUUUUAAUACAAACACAAACCCAUUUACUAUUAAAGAGUUUUACUACUAAAUCAAAGUAACAGGUAAUAAAAAAGAUAUUUAUUUCAGUUAGGUAGGUAGGUACAUUAAAAAGUUAUAUAUUUUUUUAUAUUUCCCAGUGCUUAAUAUCCAAGCUUUUUAAGAAUAACAAUCUGUCUAAUCUACUAGGAUCCAAACGAUUACGCUCAUCAGUUGCGAUGUUGCCGGCAAUCGAAAAUAGACUUGUAUCUUGUAUCAUUUAAUAGUGUAAUACACGAAGUUACGGCUCACACCAAAACUUUUCAGCUCUCGGAAAAUGUCCGUAAGUUUUCUUCACACCUUAAAUAGUGAAAUGACGGUCGCACGUAAUUCUUUUGUUCCCUCCAUUACGAGAAAAUUAAAACAAAAUAAUCCGAAAUCAUAGAUAUUAAAGGUUAACAUUCCAAAUUCAAAAUUAGAAAAAGACAUAUACAGCAGCCAGUAUUUUUUUUAAUUAUUUUUAUAAGUAAAAAGUUUGUCUCAAAACUUAUGCCAUUCAUACCUCCUAUAUUGACGGGUACUGUGGGGCGUGGCCGAACAUCAGCAGACAUGUAAGCUGCACAGAAGCAAAAAUCUACUGCUGUUAGAGACUGCUUCAUUUGACAAUUAGGGCAACGACUUCGGAUUACCCCUGGCUUCCCACAACCAUAACAGGCGAAAUUCGGCGUGUCACCACUCUGGGUUUUUACGGCUUUAGCCGUUUGAGUUUUACAUUCAGUCUUAGCGACAUUAAUUUGUUGUGCGGCGUCGUCCCUUGCCUUCUUUCGGCAGAUUUCGGCUGUGUGACCAAAAAGUCGACAGUAACCGCAACCAACCUUAUUUUGUUUUUUUUGUGUUUUUA
rnacentral:lncRNA from 1 species